UGAGUUGUAGCUAAUUAUUUAAGCACUCCAUUUACGCUGGAGGGAUUGCCCUGAGGCACUACUUAA